rnacentral:rRNA from 1 species
AUAUUUAAACCCCUUCCAGAGUAUCAAUUGGAGGGCAAGUCUGGUGCCAGCAGCCGCGGUAAUUCCAGCUCCAAUAGCAUAUAUUAAACUUGUUGCAGUUAAAAAGCUCGUAGUUGAAUUUCUGCUGUUUCGUUGACUGCCCUUGGUUUCUGUCAACCA